rnacentral:rRNA from 1 species
UGUAAGCGUAUACCAAAGUUGUUGCAGUUAAAACGCUCGUAGUCGGAAUUUGGCAGUUCCGGAUGUGUGCACGUCGUGUGCGCACUUCGCGGGGAUUGCUUUUGUGGUCUUGCGUAGGAUGAGGCACUUUUAUUAGUGAACGUCCUCACGCAACCACUUUUUACUGUGAGAAAAUCAGAGUGCUUAAAGCAGGCAUUUGCCGUGAAUGUAUUAGCAUGGAAUAAUAGAAUAGGACUUGGUUCUAUUUUGUUGGUUUGUUGGGACUGAGUAAUGAUUAAGAGGGACAGUUGGGGGCAUUUGUAUUUCGGUGCUAGAGGUGAAAUUCUUAGAUUACCGAAAGACAAACUGCUGCGAAAGCGUCUGCCAAGGAUGUUUUCAUUGA